UGGCACCGGCGAGAUUCGAACUCACGGUCUCCUGUUUACUAGACAGGCGUUUUAACCAACUAACUUUAACCAAUUGUGCU